GUGCAGCUUGCUAACGCUACCAGGUUACAUAAAGGAGGUGAGAGCGACUGUCUGGGCAGAGAGAAUUACAGUCGGAGACAGAGAGGUUUCUGCAGAGAAACCACAGAAACACCCAAGGCUGGAAAGAACAAAUAGGGCAAAGCAAUCAUAACCUGGGAGAAGCGGAAGAACGGUCAAGCUGGGCAGGAGUCAGUGACCUUGGCAUGGUCUCCUUCGGAACUUAACUGGAUUUUCUUGUAUAUGAAGCAGCAGCUGAACAGAUCCCAGAGUAGCUGUAAGGAGGUAAAUGAGCUAACCCAGGAAGGUCUCAUUUCCAGGCAUAUUCUAAUGCCUCCAUAAGCCCUUUUCUAGGUUACAGAGUAUGUGCUAGAUGUGAAGGAUCUGUAUAACUUGAUCACAGCAUGUUUAAAAGUCCAAGAAAAGAAGUGGGUGAAUAAUAGAUGAAAGAAGUUGUCCAUCUAUGCUGAUAAAUGCUAGCAGAACUAUAGAGAAAAUGUUUCAUAUUGCAGUUGAAAAACACCAUUAUAAAUGAUUGGUUAAAGCAAUCACAUUCAGACAAAUACCAGUUCCCAGCAAGGUAAAUGUACGUGCUCUCUUCUUUCCUCUGUAGUUUUUAUAUAUAUAAUCCCCCUCUUUUCUUUAUUUUGCUGGGAUGAUUGAUAUUAAAGGUUUUAUGGUUUGUCACAAUUGCACUCUACAAGCAACUCCAAAGUACAUUUUCAUGUUAACCUGCUAUAGCCCUUGGGCCAUCAGAUAUGUAGAUGGCCAUGAUCUUUUCUCGUACCAAGUUAGUAAACAGCUACAAUAGUUCAAAUGGUGGUGACACUGCUUCAUCAGAGAAUGUGAGGAAGAGAUGAUGUCAAGGCAUGCAUGCCAGC